rnacentral:rRNA from 1 species
AUACGGAGGGUGCAAGCGUUAUUCGGAAUCACUGGGCGUAAAGGACGCGUAGGCGGGUUUGUAAGUCAGGUGUGAAAUCCUACAGCUUAACUGUAGAACUGCACUUGAAACUACAGACCUAGAGUAUGGGAGGGGCAGAUGGAAUUAGUGGUGUAGGGGUAAAAUCCGUAGAUAUCACUAGGAAUACCGAAAGCGAAGGCGAUCUGCUGGAACAUAACUGACGCUAAGGCGUGAAAGCGUGGGGAGCAAACAGGAUUAGAAACCCUAGUAGUCC